ACAGACAGAUAGAUAGACAGACACAUAGACAGAUAGACAGAUAGAUAGAUAGAUGGAUGGAUUUUAGGACCAUGCUAGUUUUAGUUUAUGAAAACUAGCUCUUGGGGGCUCUUAAUAACACACACUAGUAAAUAUCCAGCCAAUGCCCUUAACAGCACCGUGGCAGCGCUCUGAGUCUGCAAAUAACCUGGGUCCUGGCAUAGGGUGAUUCAGCACCCCCACCCCCUAAGACCUGGCCAUCCUGGGGCUGUGGGUGUGUGCUGAGCCGUGGCUCGCUCACCAAGGGGAAAGGCCUGGCUCCCCUCCACUGCCCACGCCAGCUAACCCCACUCAGGCUGUAGGCUCACCUCCACCGACUGCCUUCUCCAUCCCCAGCAAAACUUUUCGGCAAACCUUUUUUUUUUUUUUUUCUUUUAUGGCCAUAGGUGCAACAUAUGGAGAUUCCCCGGCUAGAGGUCGAAUCGGAGCUGCAGCUGCCAGCCUAUACCACAGCCACAGCAAGGCCAGAUCCAAGCCACAUCUGCGACCUACACCACAGCUCACAGCAAUGCUGGCUGUUUUAAUCCACUGAACAAGGCCAGGGAUCGAACCUACACCCUCAUGGAUACCGGUCGGGUUUGUUUCCGCUGAGCCACAACAGGAACUCUGGCAAACUUUUUGAGGCGAACAAAAAGGCAGAGAGCCGGGCUGGGUAAAAUUCAAGGUGCCCACAAGGUCCCCAAAGCCGGCUUCAGCCAGUGACCCGCUGUGGUUCAUUUGUCACUGGGUCCCUCACCAAUUCAUGCGCCAGCUGGAGCUUCGACCCCUCCCAAGGGCGUAUAUUCAGCCUUCAAGCAAUAGGGAAUUGAUCCUUGCAAACUUAGUGAAACCAGAAAGCCCAAGGCCAAUCCAGAGGCUGACGUGCCGAUCAAGAGGCAGGCUAGGCCACUUGUGAUAAGAGAUCCGGAAGAGAGUAGCUUAGACCAGGCGGUUGAUUCCUCUUUCCCACAGAAGCCCAGGUAGAAUCUGGACGUGUGAUUGAACGGCUGACCCCGGCUCUGCCCACUUCUGAGGCUGGCCCUUGAUCUCCAAGGCCCAGCUGGCGGGGGUCCUCUUCCCAAUGGAUGGGGGGGAAGGGGAGCUCCCCGCUUUGCUUUCAGAGGGAGGACACCAGCACUGCAUACACCCCCUCUGGUCACAGGGCUGUCCCAAUCCAGGCGACACCACUGCAGACAGCUCACAGCCCAGCGGUCAGGGUACCCAACCACCUGGAAGCCGAGCACCCUCAAACUUCUCCCCGCAGGCUAAACGACCCUCCUCCAUGUGUGGGUUCAGGAGGUCCGAGGGGUCCAAACGGCUUUCACGAUAACACUGAAGCGUCAUUGUCCUUUUUCCUCACGUCUUCUCAGGAAUUUUCCAGAGGCUACAGGAAAUGUGACCACACCGUCACCGUGACAGUUAAUAGAAUAUAUGCUUCUAUAUUCUUGUGUUUUAAAUGCUUUCUCCAUUGUAAUUUUCCAUGCCGUAAGUGCCAAGAGAUGAAACCCACGCUGACACAAUCUCGGGGGGUGGGACCCCGUGGAGGUACGUGUCUACCAGCAGAAGGCAGAGCUGGCUCUCUCCAGGGCUUGCCACUUCUGAAUGAUGCCCCUUCUCUUCGCAGAUUACUCUGAACCUCAGUUUUCUCAUCUUUAAAAUGGGGAUGGUGCCUCAGGGCCUUGUCGGGAGGGAGUAAUCAGGAGUUUCAAAAAGCAGUUUUUAGGAGUCCCCAUUGUGGCUCAGCAGGUUACGAACCGGACUGGUAUCCGUGAGGAUACACGUUCAAUCCCUGGCCUGGCUCAGUGGGUUAAGGAUCUGCCGUUGGUGUGAACUUCGGUGUAGGUCACAGACAUGGCUUGGAUCUGGCCUUGCUGUGGCUGUGGUGUAGGCCAGCAGCUGUAGCUCCGCUUGGAUCCCUAGCCUGGAAACCUCCAUAUGCUGUGCGUGCGGCCCUAAAAAGAAAGAACAAAAAAGAGGCGUUUGCACAGAACUAGGGCUGCAGUUCCUGCAAUGGUCAGCCUCAGGGCAGGGGGAUUGGGAGAGGGGAGAAAGGCCACACCUCGGCUCACCAGCUUUCUGUGCCCAUUCCCCCCCCACACACACACACCCCAGGGCUGCUCAUUGGGGGGCAUUCAAGGCCCCCCUACCUGGCCUCAACCCACAUCACCAGAGAGCUUUCUGAACCACUUUCGAAUUCUGCUGAGUCUGAUUUUCCCACGCAAGGGGGGUCUUUCUCCAAAGAGCAAGCGGGGCUCCGUCAGCGACCAGAUCUCUGGCGUCUGGGGAGCAGGGGCUGGAAGCUGGCCCCUUAACCACGCUCUCCCCAAAGAGCAUUUGUAAACACAUGCCUGCUUUAUAACAUCAGCAAACAGAACAAGUUUUCCUACUUAACAGGAAAUGCAGCCCCAUGGCUGGGUUCCCCUCACAUGCAGCUCUGAUAAGGUCAGGGACCAAGGUGGGGGGGGGACCGUGGCCAAGCCCUCUGGUUUGCAGCAGCUCCCAGCAUCCGCUCGUGUUAGGAGCCCCCUAUGCUAGCGGGGGGAAGGGUCCCACCUCUCCGCCCCCUGCCUUUGUCUCCUGGCAGCCUGCCUGCUCCCGCUGGAGGGCUGCAGUGCUUUCCCUGGAGCUGGACUCAGAUCGCACCACAGGCAAUGACAUGCGUUUCUAACCACUCCGGCCCUUUCACUGUCACAAGAUCUUGAAGGGCAGAACUGACCACGCAGGGAAGCCCAAGGGCUGUUGUCGGAAGCCUCAGCCAAGCCUGAGAAUGACACCAGUGUACCAGAACCCUGACCGGUCUAAGGAAGUAAAAAAGAAAGAAAGAAAAAAAAAUCCCCUCCUCCUCAUCCCCUGGGGGAGGGGUCUCUGCAAGGUAGGCGUGGCCGCGCCAUUCAUGGCUACCCAGGCCCCACGCAGAGCCCAGGGCGCUCCGCGGCCGCUGAUUGGGCCUCGGGGCCGGCAGCUCGGCCAAUCCGCAGUCUGGGAAGCUGGCCAUUCAUGAAAGCGGUUGCGGAGAGGAAGUCGGGCGGGGAAGCGGCGCAGGGUUAUCUGUGUGCAUCGCGGGGCCUCAUUAGGGCGCCGGGCCUUCCAUCCUGGCCCUCCCGCCGCUGACUCGUCCCGGGCCCCUCGCAGGGGAGACCCAGUUAGAGGAUCAGGAACAGCCAGGCUUUCUGGAAGUGCCUCCCGGGCAGGGCCUGGCAGCCAAACGCUGUCUCCUUCAGUCAACUCUGGCCAUGUAGUCAUUUUUUUCCCCCUGCUGAUUGAAAUCAUCUGUUUUCAGUUCCCUGACAAAUUCAUUGAGUUUCCUCUGCGGCUGGGGCCCCCCGUCUGCACAGUCUGAAUCUGUAGCUGUGGCCCAGACCCACACAAUUUCAUCUUCUUGGAUCUACAUGGGAUCCGGUUUCCAGAGACAGAGUGAAAGGUGUACUUAUGUGAGAUGGCGGGUGGGUUUCGCAGCCCCGGCUCCAGCAAGGAUGCUUCUAAAAGGGCUGUUGACGGCCUGGUUGUGGUCCCCGCAGGCCUGGCCCUUCAGAUUCCAAGGGCCCCAGAUGACAGCGUGGCCAGGGAGAGGCCCAGAACGCCACACAUCUGGUCUCUUAAAAGGGAAACGGCCAAGUGGAAUGCUGGCCUCAUCUUCCUGCAGGAUGAAUCCCUGGUUUCCUCUUGCGAUACAGCCAGUGGCUUAAACAGCACUCUCACAGGUUGAGCUAUAUUUGGGGAGCUGCCCUUGAGCAGUCAGGAGGAGGAAUGAUGUCAGGUUUUGCACCCGAUGUGCCCUGAUCUACCACGUGGCCUCCUCUCUGAGCCUCAAUGUUCUCCUCUGUAAAAUGGGCAUAAGAACCCCCAGCCCUUGCCACUGUGAGCGUCCAGGAAAAUAAGCAGGUCAGGGGUGUGGCACUCAGUCGCCGACACCCGCUGUUGGGAUGAACUCAGCAGUGGCCAGCUAAGAGGGCCAAGACAGGGGUGAAGUUCCAUUUGGAAGCCAGAAUGGAGACCCAGCGCAAGCAGUGGGCUCUGGAGCCCUGGGGACACCCCUUCUCCAGCCGCUCACACCCCCAACGAUGCGCUGGAGCCACUGGGGGCAGGCGCACGAGGGGAAUUUUUCUCAAUGGAAAGAUUUCUUCACAGCAAGUGUUUCGCAAACCCCUCCUGGGCUCUUGAUAAUGAAUCUUGGCUUCUUGACUUCCAAGUGUGUUACGUAAGCCUAAGAGCUUGGUCAAAAAAAAAAAAAAAAAAAAAAACGGUAUGUAGCUUGAGAUAGCAGGCAGGCAGGUUCUGCAGCUGUUCAAACUUCCAGCCACCUUCCCAGGCGGAGAGGAGUCCCCGCGUCGGGCCUGUCAGGACCAGGCUGGGGAAUGUGAGGCAUGAAAUCAGGGAAAGGGGCCAAAGAAACCAGGACCGCAGAGCAGACUCAGGGCGGGCCUCUCACAGGCCUUUCUAGAUGGCCAGCGCCCCUCCCCCUGGCAGCACCCCAGAUUGUACCCCAGUGGCUUCCCUGUUUGGGAUGGGCAGAGAAAGCCCCCGCCCAGCCCGCCCCCCCACCCCCAGAGCCCAUCACGUUUGGCUCUGCAGCACCCAUGCAGCAAGAGGGGGGUGCACGCAGAGGCAUGGGGAGACCAAGGCCUGGGGACAGGUGGGGUGAUGAUUGUCCUCCGAGGCUGGUCCUUCCAGAGGCCACGUGAGCCUGGGAGGUGGAGGCCACUGAGAGCAAAUAAAGGAAGCGGAAGAGGAGCUGGGCCGACUGGGGAAGCCAGAUUUCGCCACUUCUCACUUCUGCUCUGGGCUGAAGGGCCUUCCCUUUUCAUCUGUUUCCUUAAACUACAGGUGUUGGGGUAGAGAGGCCUGUGGGUUUCCUAAUCUGCCUCUUGUCCUGGCUUUGGCAAUGCAGAUCAAACACAAAGUCUCAGUGAUCCAUUGCCAUGUGGGGUCAGAGGUCUGGUUAAGCCCUGGGCGACUUCGGCCUGGUCACUUCCCUCCCUUGGUCUUUCUUAGUCAUGAGCCAAAUGGGGACUCCAGUGGACACUUGCUAUCCAACCAGUGGAAACGGGCCUGAAAAAAACCUUAACAGCCAUGCAGAUAUCGGGUAUGUUAAAGUACUACAGCAUGUGCCGUGGCAUUCGGGCGUUAUGAGCAUCGCCAGAAAAUGUAUUGGUCAGAAUGGGCUAGGUCCUGCUGCAGUAACAAACAGGCCCUGGAUGUCAAUGACUGAAAUCAGCAUCAGUAGUAGGUUUCUGUAACGGGUCAGAGAGUAAAUAUUUUAGGCUUUGUGGGCCAUGCUCUUGCAACUCCUCCACAAUGAUUGUAGCACAAAAGCAGCUCAGACAGAACAGAAAUGUGUUCCCCUAAAACUUGAUUUGCCCAAACAGAGGGUGAGCCCAGAUUUAGCCUGGGAACUGUAGUUUUCUGAUUCUUGGCUUAAACCAACAAAGACAUGUUUCCCACCUAUGCUCCACCUCUAAGGUGGAGUGGGGUCUGCAUAGCGCACGCUCCAGGGACCCCAGGGAUGGAGAGCCAUCUCCGAGACACUUCGGCCAUCUCCGAGACCAGAUUCGUGUGCUGGUUCUUAAAACUUCUGCUCGUAUUUCAUUGGCCAGGCAAGUCCCUCAGCCACACCUGACCUCCAGGUGAGAACAACCCUAUCAUUUGCCCAGAAAGCAGGCGGCUGGAAUCGUUCAUCUGAUCUCUCAGACGGGGAGACCUCACUUCUGGUCCCGUCCUCUGCCACCUGCCAACUCUUGCCAUAUCCUUCCGGUCUCUAGCCUUCCACUCCCCACCCGUGAAAAGGGGGCAUCUUUUCUGGAUCCUCUCAGGCCUGGGAGCAGCACCCCCGCCAUGGGCCCCACUUUUGCAGGCAAGGGACACGGAUUCCAUUUCCGCAGCACAUGACCCACGUGUUUGUGUCCCGGCAACGUCAUACGUUGAAGCCCUUCCCCCAAGGUGACAGCAUCAGGAGGCGGAGCCUAGGGGAGGCAGUGGGGUUAGAUGAGGUCCUGAGGGCAGGGCCGCCUGGUGGGAGUAAUGCCCUUACCAGGAGCGGCUCCCUCCACCUACCUGACUCUGAGUCUGCUGUCCGAGGGGUGAGCCCAUCCCAGCCCCCAUCACGCCCGGCACCUGCCUCUGAAGCAUGGCGGCAGCUCAGAGAGGCCAGCGCCAGGCGGCUCAUGUGUGCGGGCGACUCCACGCCAGGCCACAUCUCUUCCCCAGCCCAGCCUGGCCAUCUGCAAUGCAAUUCCCUCGGGAGAGCAGCAGGCCCUCUGCGGGGUCUGGAGGAGUCCCUUCCUUUGCCUCCAAGGGAGAAUCCUCUGGUUCUGCAAGCUCUUCUAGGCGUCUCUGCGGGAGCUGCCGAAACAGCUUCUCGAUGGCCCCAUGGAUGGAAUCUUGGGAAAACCAACUUCUGGUUCAAAACGGAGGAAAAUGAUAAAGACGCCUUUUGGAGUUUGAAGAGAUUUCCCCUUUAAGAGGGAGAGCUGGGCUUGGGAGCGGGUGGGACAAGCACAAAAGCAGGACCUGAGGGGCCUGUGGCAGCCCUUCUUGCGGGAGGAAGCUCUUAUAAAGGGGAAAGUCUCUGCCAGGAGAAGUGGAGAUUCUAAACAUAGAUCCCGGGCCACAGGGAAGUGAAAAUCUUUCCUCAUCCUGUCCCGGCCCUCGUGGUCUCGCGGCUUCCAUCCCCCAUGGCAACCCCAUCUCUUCGGCUUCUGACGUUUGGGGGCGGGUGGAGGCACCCCAAGCGAGAGAAUGGUCAGGACAACAGAUGCUGCCUCUUUUCUGGAAUGAUGGCAUCAAAAUGCAGCCUAAUGCAGAUGGGCAGCAUGCACCAGCUGCGGGCCGGAGUGCAGACACCAGGGCUGCAGGAAGGCUCUGAAAGCCCUGGGCCACGGCUCUGAGCCCUGGGUGUCACUCUGGACCUGAAGAGAUGGGCCAUCCAUCCUUCAAAUGGGGCCUGUCACCUACAGGAAGAGGGGGGCUGUCAUGCGACUCGCUCAGGUCAGCAGAAAUCUCCGCUGCAAGGGGUCCCGUCGACCGCAUCCAUUGGCAGCAGCAGAGGAGAGGCCCCGAGGCCUGAGCGAGUGCACGGCCUGUGAUCUGGCCACGGGGACAGCCUGGCCUCUGCUUCCCAGGCCUGCCCGGUGCAGGGGCGACCUCUCUGCUCCCAGCCCCGCCUGCCAGAGGAGGCUGAGUCCUGCAAGCCUCCAGCAAGCGUUUCCGACAGCUUUUCCUGCCUGAGUCAGGGGGCAAGGCAGGAUGGGGUCACCUGAGCCCCAGCUCCUAGGGCUUGCCUCCCAAAAUAGGCCUUCCUUCCUGUAUCCAGGCCUCUGCCGCAGGCCCUGCAGGAAAAUGUAUGUUUCCAAGGCGGACGGAGCACCUGGAAACUCCAGCUGGCCCCACGCCCCUGGGCCAGGCCACAGCCAAGAGGCCUGGGGCCCUGGGGUGACACCUGGCCAUCGCUUCCUCGUGGCUCCUGUCGCUGCUCUGGGUGAACAGUGCGUGUUUGGGGGGCUUGAGUCAGGACAGAAUCUGGACGCGUGGAGACUGGCAGGUGGGCGCCCCCGGGUGAGCUCCCUCUGCCAUGACCCAGGUGAACCUUCCAGACCAGAACUUUCUCCACGUUCUGGGAGCCUGUGGACCCCCAGCCCAGGCUCGGAGCCUGGGCUGCUGUCCUGGGAAGGCCAGCCCCUCUGCAAGAAUUGUCCAGCUGCCCGGGGCAUGAGUCACAGCCCGCCGCUCCCGGCAGCGCCCUGCGGAUUCAGAAGCCCCAGCCCGUUUCCUGCAGAUAAGUGAUAAGAGCAGGGGAGCCUGGCAGGGGAGGAGCCCCCACGGGGACCCGCGCUUCCUUCAAAGCCCCCCAAGCGCUAAUUAGCAAUUCCAAGCAUAGUUUCAGCAGCAUUUAGGGAUUUCCUCAUCAAAAUAAACUUCCUCCCGUGUUAUCUUCA